rnacentral:rRNA from 1 species
ACGGGGCGCAGCAGGCGCGAAAACUUUACAAUGCGGGAAACCGUGAUAAGGGGACACCGAGUGCCAGCAUCAUAUGUUGGCUGUCCAGAUGUGUAAAAUACAUCUGUUAGCAAGGGCCGGGCAAGACCGGUGCCAGCCGCCGCGGUAACACCGGCGGCCCGAGUGGUGAUCGUGAUUAUUGGGUCUAAAGGGUCCGUAGCCGGUUUGGUCAGUCCUCCGGGAAAUCUGACGGCUCAACCGUUAGGCUUUCGGUGGAUACUGCCAGACUUGGAACCGGGAGAGGUAAGAGGUACUACAGGGGUAGGAGUGAAAUCUUGUAAUCCCUGUGAGACCACCUGUGGCGAAGGCGUCUUACCAGAACGGGUUCGACGGUGAGGGACGAAAGCUGGGGGCACGAACCGGAUUAGAUACCCGGGUAGUCCCAGCCGUAAACGAUGCUCGCUAGGUGUCAGGCAUGGCGCGACCGUGUCUGGUGCCGCAGGGAAGCCGUGAAGCGAGCCACCUGGGAAGUACGGCCGCAAGGCUGAAACUUAAAGGAAUUGGCGGGGGAGCAC